rnacentral:rRNA from 1 species
AGAGAAGCUUGCUUCUCUUGAGAGCGGCGGACGGGUGAGUAAUGCCUAGGAAUCUGCCUGGUAGUGGGGGAUAACGUUCGGAAACGGACGCUAAUACCGCAUACGUCCUACGGGAGAAAGCAGGGGACCUUCGGGCCUUGCGCUAUCAGAUGAGCCUAGGUCGGAUUAGCUAGUUGGUGGGGUAAUGGCUCACCAAGGCGACGAUCCGUAACUGGUCUGAGAGGAUGAUCAGUCACACUGGAACUGAGACACGGUCCAGACUCCUACGGGAGGCAGCAGUGGGGAAUAUUGGACAAUGGGCGAAAGCCUGAUCCAGCCAUGCCGCGUGUGUGAAGAAGGUCUUCGGAUUGUAAAGCACUUUAAGUUGGGAGGAAGGGUUGUAGAUUAAUACUCUGCAAUUUUGACGUUACCGACAGAAUAAGCACCGGCUAACUCUGUGCCAGCAGCCGCGGUAAUACAGAGGGUGCAAGCGUUAAUCGGAAUUACUGGGCGUAAAGCGCGCGUANGUGGUUUGUUAAGUUGGAUGUGAAAUCCCCGGGCUCAACCUGGGAACUGCAUUCNAAACUGACUGACUANAGUAUGGUAGANGGUGGUGG